rnacentral:lncRNA from 1 species
CAUUUUGGAGGAUAACAACUUGUUAAUUUCUGUAGGAGAAGUAUAAUAUUCACACUAGCUCCCUUUUUUAGUGCGUUUCUUCUUCUUCUUCAAGUUGAUUGAGAAUUAUGGAUGGCACCAUGUAGUAAAGUACAUAAAUGCCAAUCAAGUGAAUCACACCAUAACCAUAUGCUCUCUCCAGUCUAAUACCACCAGGAAUCUAGUAUGUAGCCUCUAAGGAAUGUUUCCAGAACUCAAGUAUGAG